rnacentral:rRNA from 1 species
CCUACGGGAGGCAGCAGUGGGGAAUCUUCCGCAAUGGGCGCAAGCCUGACGGAGCGACGCCGCGUGAGCGAGGAAGGCCUUCGGGUUGUAAAGCUCUGUCUUCAGGGACGAGGGAGGACGGUACCUGAGGAGGAAGCCCCGGCUAACUACGUGCCAGCAGCCGCGGUAAUACGUAGGGGGCGAGCGUUGUCCGGAAUUACUGGGCGUAAAGCGCACGUAGGCGGGAAUCUAAGUCAGGAGUGAAAACUUAGGGCUCAACCUUAAGCUUGCUCUUGAGACUGGAUUUCUUGAGGACAGGAGAGGGGAGCGGAAUUCCCAGUGUAGCGGUGAAAUGCGUAGAUAUUGGGAGGAACACCAGUGGCGAAGGCGGCUCUCUGGCCUGUAACUGACGCUGAGGUGCGAAAGCGUGGGGAGCAAACGGGAUUAGAUACCCUUGUAGU